rnacentral:lncRNA from 1 species
UUGAUUAUGUGCUCUUUUUUUUUUGAGAGAGAAACGCUACCUGCUUCAUUCAUUAGGUAAAUGAACUUAGCUAUAUAGGGUUUGAGCCAGCUAGGACCUCAUGUAGGCGACUAAACGAAGGAAAAAGAAACUAAAAGAAAAACUAAAAGAAUAACAAAAAAAGAACAACAAAGAACAGUAACCAACGUCACCCUUCUCUGCAAAAAUCAGUACCAAAUGGCCACCACAAGAAUUUGAGACUUCAACGUGUCCGUCUUUGACCGCCUUCUCAUCAAUUCUUUCCAAAUGAACUUGACAUUCUCACAUGAUGGGUAGACGGAGGGCGCCUCUAGGAGGGAAAGAAAAAGAAACUUGCUGACUACUCACUCCACGAAUAAGUGGUCAACUAUUUUCAGUUCAUUGCCAUACAUGACACACCCAUUGAGAUCUGCCCAACCCCUUUUAAGUAGAUUAUCCACAGUAGGGAAUCUCUUUUUU